GAUGAACGCUGGCGGCGUGCUUAACACAUGCAAGUCGAGCGGGCAAUUUAUCUAGCACUGAUUACUUCAAAUGGAAAUCAUAAGUGUAAUCAUGAAUUUCUACCUUUAAUAAAGAAAAAGAAUUCAUGUACGCAAAUAGUGAUAACACAUUUUAGUGGAGUGAUGAGUGCUGGAUAAAUUGCUAGCGGCGGACGGGUGAGUAACACGUGGGUAACCUGCCUCAAAGUGGGGAUAGCCUUCCGAAAGGAAGAUUAAUACCGCAUAAGCCUACAGUAUCGCAUGGUACAGCAGGAAAAGGAGCAAUCCGCUUUGAGAUGGACCCGCGGCGCAUUAGCUAGUUGGUGAGGUAACGGCUCACCAAGGCGACGAUGCGUAGCCGACCUGAGAGGGUGAUCGGCCACAUUGGAACUGAGACACGGUCCAGACU
rnacentral:rRNA from 1 species